UGGAAAUGCUCUGCUCUGGGAACGCUGACUGCACUACGGUUAAGUCGUUGGUGACUGCUAAAUGGCUUGCAUCCUAGCAGGACCAAGAGGUACCAGAAUUGCGUGCGCCGACGCAUUUGCUCUGCAGAGAGGCUGCUCAAGGGGCUCGUACGUGUUUGUCAUUACAGUUUUCACCUCUGAUGAAGUAGUGAGCCAGGGUUUGCCUUCAAAUUCCGACUGGUAUGAGUUUAUAGAAACACAACAAGCAGGGCACAUACACUGAGGCGGCAGACCUUGGGAAGGUUAACAGGAAAAUUCACAGCUUCUCGCCUGACACCUAGUCUAAUAGCUCUGGAAAGUGUCAAGAGCAUGCAUAUACCUACAGGCUGCUGCACAAGCAUCUGGUCGACCUCUGGAAUGGCUGAACACUAGCCAAAAAGUGGUAGCUGCUGCCCAAAACUGAUACUUGGCUAAUUUUAGACACUGGACGUGAGAUGUGCUGUCAGUUAGUUUCACCAGUAAAUAUCAUGUGAGCUCUUUUUUAAAAUUUUAUUAAGAAAAACAUUUCCAAAAGUUGGUUACCAUCCAACACCAUACACUUGACCCCCUUCACUCAUUUCGCCACCCUCCUGACCCCCCUCCUCUCUGGUGAUCUCUUUGUAAUGAACACAGAUGUCAAAUCAUAAUGUUGCACACCUGAAAUUUACACAACGUUAUUUACCAAAUUUUACCUCAUUUUUUUAAAAAGGCAGUUAUUCCCCAACUUCUGCAUUUAAGGAUUAUUUAAUAAAAUUUAGCAAUAAGUGCAAAAAAAAAGGGGGGGCCUUACGUUUUGUAAGAUUAGCAGUCCCAGUAAGGGUCUCCCUUGCUAGAAAACUGGGGAAAUUAUAACUGAGAAUAGGAGAAUGUUAGCCUUAUUCAAUUAACAGCUGUUACCAAGUGGUCAUAUGUACUUGACACUGUAACAUCGCCAGACAGUCAAAAGCGGCUUAAGACGUGGGUACAGCCCUUGAAGGGCUUCCUGUUUCAAAAGAGGCUGAUAAAUCACAACCUCACUCACAAGGAGGGCUAUACCGACAGUAAGAAUGUUCUCUAGCUUUGAGGAUGGUAACCACCCACCGAGGGAGUUAGAGAAGCUUCACAAAAGGACUGACAUUUGAGAGGGCUUAAAAGGUUGAGCAUUCACUAUCAAAAAGUAGGGGAGGAACAGGAUUGCUUUAUUGUGAACCCAUCACUAAUCUCAGCAAGUGGACUGAGUUAAAAUUCAGGAUUAAUACUAAUGGUAUCUCCACUGGGGAGAAGAGACCGAUACAAUUACGUUCUGGUGUAUUGGGCCAAGUUGUUUGAUUCUUCCAAGCUAAAGUGACUGACAAAAAACUGACUAGAAACAAUCAUGACCAUGUAUCUAAGUAAGUAAGGACUUGUGUGUGUGUGUGCUUGUGUGGUUCAACAUUAUCAGGUCAAGUUCAUUGACCAUUCAGAUACAAGCCACUUGACAAACCUGUUUCAGGAGACUGGCCCGGGGAGGCUAAGAUUCAAAUUCACACUAACAGAUUACAAUGGGUUUGUGUGUGUGUCAAUAUUUUAUCUCUAAACUCCCCACAAUUUAAAAGUAACUGAGCUUUUAAUUGGAGAGAAGGUUUGGUGUGAAGGGUGGGAGCAAUGUUAUAUAAUAUUUUACUUCCAUACUAUAACCCUGAUUGCCCCAUAAAUAUCGGAGGAGUAUCUGGUGGGGUAAAAAUCCCCUCAUUUCUUUAAAAUGGAGGUCUUCUAUAUCUUACAGUUCUGGAAGAGGGAGAAAAGCUACUGUUUCUUUUAUUGAAGACCUGGCCUAAGACCGUAUGCUGAAGCCAGGAUUGGAGUUAAAUUUAAGCCAGACUGACAGGAAGCCUUUUAUCUGUCCAUGACAUCACACUGUCUUCCAACUACAUCUUAAUAAUGUGAAGAUAUGAACAAACAGAAGGAGAAUUAGUGUUUUUAGUAUUUGUUGAGUACCUACUAGGUACUCCACAUUUUUCAUGGAUUAUUCCAUUUAAUUAUCUUUUGUUACCUCUAUUUUAUAAGGUAGGAAAUUGAAAUGCAAAGAAGUCCAUGUUCUAAGCUGACUCAUCUAAUAUAUGGUAGGACCAGGACUACAAUCCAAGUUUUCUAACUCCAAGUUCCCUGUUCUUUCCAGAAGGAGACUGCCUCCUGUCCCCUCAAAGAUAUCCGAGUUUAGUUUUCUCUCUGCUGACACAAUCUUGUAGGUAGUCCAUGACAAUCUUAAGUUGGGACCUCCCAGAUGCAGACCUUGAAUGAAGGAUUUAAGUGCAUGUUGUUUCUUUGAGAGGAAAUUCUAGGCAGGAUCCUUAGGGAAGUUGGGGAGUGAAACCAAGAAAGCAAGGAAGCCAAUAAAGGGCACGUUGAUGAGAGGAUUGGCCCUGGGAGUCACGGUGGCUCCAUCUGGGGGGCUUCUGGGAUUCUGCACAGAGCACAGCUCAGAGCUUGGGCGAGCCAGCUGGGGUAUCUGCCCACUGACUCCCAUUCGUUAUUUGUUGAAGGCUGUUCCUGGGAGCCUUAACCCUCUGUCUUGAAUGAAUGGCCACAGAAGGUCCUCAAGGCAGAGUUGAAAGUGCUUGCCUUCUGAAGUCCUGGGAAUGACAAGAUUCUGGAUUGUGCCACCCUUGGAGCUGCUGCCACAGAAAGAGGCCUCUGCACUGUGGAGAUAGCAUCUGGCCACAGUGGCAUUUCUUAGACUUCGUGUGUCACAAAGACAGAACCUCCACAUUCCCUAGGUCUUCACGGACUGUCGUCUCUCAGUCCAUAACUGGAGAUGGGUAACACCACGAUGAGUGUGAAAAAAGAUGAAAACAGUCGUCAAAGCCUCCACACGCCACGACCAACAUUCAUUCUCACGUACUCCUUAAGCCCACGUUACUGAGAGGACCCAGCCAUUUCUUCCUUUCUUGAGCCUCAGAGAAACCCACGUGCCCUUCAUUCAGAUGGGAGAUGUGCAGGUCUCCGUUUCUGGGUGGUUGUGCGCUAAUCCUCCUCCCACUGUCUCGUGACUAAGAGACCACCCCUCCCCCCAGCUUCUUGGUGAAACAUCAGUGGGCAGAAGGAGAAAAACAAUGCGGAUCUUUUUCAGCCAGUGCUGUGAGAUUUGCAGUCCCAUUGCUUUUUCUCCCCUAAAACUAACACAAACCAGAAAAAGAAAACCAGAUAAAUGAAGUAAAACAAGGAUGAUGUCUGUCCUCUUGGCAGACUGUCAUCAGGGAACGAUGACAUUCACACUGGAGAAUUGUAUGAUGCACGGUUUCCAUUUGGGGAAACCUUCAUGCUCCUUGGAGCCACUAGUUUGGGUUUGGAGUUUGUUUUUCCCCCUUUUUGGAGGGGGUGCAGUGCCGGUCUAACGGCAACAUUAUAAGACUCUGGAAAAUACAUAAAGUCUAAGCGUCUCAGUAAUUAGAGCUGGAGGAGAGCCAUUAUAUCAUCCCUCAGACUCAGGGGAACCAGUGGAGGGGUCUUUCCUAGAACAGAUUUUCUAGUUCUUUAUCCUGUUGACUUUCAAGCAGCUCCAGGGAUGGCGUUUCCACCACUUCCUUUAUUCUGUAUUUCCCAGAAUAAUUCAUAAUUCUUGCUGUCAUAAUUUUUCAGGGUGUUUAGUCCAAAUGCUCCUUUUCUGAAAAUGACAACUGCUCUCUUCACUCGAAGUUGUGUCCACCAGUUGCAAUAAACUCUUCACUCUCUUGAAGCUGUAACCAUUUUCCAUUAUUUUCCCCCCAGAAUUCUCUGAUUCUCUCUCUCUUUAGAAGCCAUCGUUCAUUUACAAGGAAACUUGGUGAUUUGGCCAGUGGAGUUUUAGCCCGUUGGAAGCUGUGGUGUCUCGGAAUUCCCAUACCAGGGCUCCUCGGAUGUUUCUGGGCAUGCAGUGCCAGGCUGGUGGCAGAGAAGUGAAACCAUCAGUAAGACCCAUUGCCUUAGUGCUCAGAAAAUACCAAAAUGCACCACCACUGAAAGACGAGCUUUCAGAUUCACAGUGACUUAUAACCCACCGGUCUACGGAAGGGGUCAGUUUUUCUAUGUCUUGUAGCAGAGCAAAAGGGAAAAUGAGCAACCACCUGAUAAGUGCUCUUGAAAACGCUUAAAUAAAAGCUCAACGGUGUGAAGACCGUAGCUACGCGCCCCAUCAAUCCUGUGGUCCAAAGUUACAAAGGUUCUAGAGAAAUCAGCUCCAAAAAAAGCCAUCUUCUCCAGGUGAAGGGAAGCAGAGAAAGAGUGUCUCCAGGCUGGCUUAGCCAUCUAAAUGGUCUAAUUAAAUAAAACAAUCAGGGGUUGGCUUCUGUCCUGCAAGCAAUUCCCCCAACUGAUGGACUCCCAAGAAAUGGCAGGGAGCCAGCAUUGCUCACGUGGCUUCUUUAACGCAGCCAUUUAAGUGCUCAGCAAGUGUUACAUUUAAAUGUGUGUAAAAAUUAUUACAAAAAAAAAAGAAGAAAAGAAAAGAAAAAGAAAGAAAGAAAACCCUACACAUCAGGGGAAAUGUGUGAAUAUGUGUACACAGAGCCACACAUACAGGUCAAGUGGGAAAUAGCUUUGGGGAUAUUUAGAGAUUUAGCUUUUAGCAAAAGUCAUUUUUCUCCCUCCAGUAAGCCUGUGAGCUUUUAAUAGCCACUUUCCUUGAUUGCCUUCUAGAUCAUCGUCUGCUGCCAAGUGGCCCAGUAUGAACACAGACUUCAGUUCGUGGGGGUGGGAUGGGGGUGAGGGUGGGGGUGGGGACAGUUUGAGAGGCUCCUUAGAGCAGAAUCCUGAAAGCGGGCCCAGACUGAGUCAACCGUGUCAGUCUCCUAAAUUAUGCCAUAAAAUUAAGGCUCAAGCUCAGAUUUCCAGAAUCCUUCUUUUUCGUUUUGAAUAUUUUUAUAUUCUGAGGAGUAAAAAGAAGUUUGGAAAAAUGCCCUCCUCAGAGUUCUUAUAUGUUUCUGAAAAGAUUAUGAUGACCUUGGCAAUGAAACUAUUUUAGAAAUAUCAUGAGAUGGCCUAGAGAGUGAAUUGUUAAACUAAUUUAUUAUCUUGAGAGCUAAUGAUACUCACCUGCUCUUUUAUGUUCUUAUUAGCAUUUUUUUGGUGGGGGGAGGUAGAAAUGAUUGAUGCUUGGACAGUUUUUUAUCACUUCAGAGAGAGCAAGACCCUAAAACACCACAACAGACUGAAGACAGGAGUGCCCUUCUCCAACCUCCUGAAGCAUCAAGACUCCUCUUGGGAAGGAGAAAGAUGAAGGCUCAACUCUGAAAACUUGAACAUUACCCUGAAGGCAAUCAUGAUGAACCGAAAAUAAAUUGUUUAAAAAAGAAGGCACUGAGAUAUUGUCCAUUGACACAGUUAAGUUUCCCAGUAAUCCAGUAGGAAGGGGAACUUGUAAGGAAGAAGAUGUAAUAAUAAAGAGAUAAGCAAACAGAUAAAGAAAUGAAUGAAUGAAUAUGAAAUAUGUUUUGAUUUUUGCACAUCUAAGUAGGGGUGAGAAAUAUGCUCUCUUGCUAAAAAUAAUUCAUUAGAGGACUUGGAAAUUAUAAAAAAAAGUAUAACAAAAGUGUAAUAAUUUACCUUUAUUUUGGAUAAAUAAAUAAGGUUAGAUAGAAUUAUAAUAUAUAUGUUAUUAAGCUCUAUAUACAAUUCUGAGUCUUGACUUUCAUGUAUUAUACUAUAAUCAUGGAACCACGUCAAAUGUUCUCCAAUAACUGUUAAUAGUUUUGCAAUAGUCAAUGGUCUGGAAGGACUAUGAUUUAUUUAGUCAUUUUUUAUUGCUGACUAUUAGUUUAUUUGCCCCCCCUAUUAUAAACUAUGCUGUGAUGAACUUGAUAUGUAGAUCGUUUCCAUAUAUUUGACUAUACUUAGCUUUAAUUCUUCAAACUGGAAUCACUGAAUGAAAGGAUAUAUACUAAUUUUAAUCUCUUGAUAGGUUUAGCAAUGUAUUUCCUGCAAGUCUGGACCACUUUGUCAGGAGUGGUGUAUGAGCGGCUUUUUCAAGGCACCAUUUUUACCAAUUCUAAAAUCACUCAAUAGAUGAAGAUAUCUAAUUCUUGUUUUAUUUUGUAUUUUUGGCUACAUGUUGAGGUUGAAUGUUUUAUUAUGUUAAUUAGCAACUUGAGAUAUGUAAAAUCUUUCUACUACGUUUUUUGAACAAUCUCAUUAUAAAAGUAUAUUGACUGCCAUAUAUAUUGCCUUUUUUUUUUACAUUUUCUUUUUCAGUUUCUGACAUGUUCAUUUUUAUUCCCAUGUGAUCAAAUCUCAUCUGUUUCUUAUGCUAAGAAAAUCUUUGUUCCAAAAUAACAUAAAUAAAUGGUCUUCUACACUUUUACCUUCACAUAUACCUUUUUAAUCUAUCUACAGAUUUUUCUGAACACAAUGAAGUUUUAGUUUUUUCUAUGUGGUUAAUUUGUUGUGCCAGCAGCAUUUACUUCCUUCACAGCCAAUAAUCUGAGAUGACUUCUUUACCAGAUAAUAAACUUGUGUAUAGAGAAA